rnacentral:rRNA from 1 species
CCAGCAGCCGCGGUAAUACGGGGGGGGGAACGGUUUAUCGGAAUUACUGGGCGUAAAGCGCACGCAGGCGGUUUGUUAAGUCAGAUGUGAAAUCCCCGGGCCCUUUUAGGGAACUGCAUCUGAUACUGGCAAGCUUGAGUCUCGUAUAGGGGGGUAGAAUUCCAGGUGUAGCGGUGAAAUGCGUAGAGAUCUGGAGGAAUACCGGUGGCGAAGGCGGCCCCCUGGACGAAGACUGACGCUCAGGUGCGAAAGCGUGGGGAGCAAACAGGAUUAGAUACCCUGGUA